rnacentral:lncRNA from 1 species
GUAGUAACAUGGAGCGAUUGUGACGAAUUUAGCUCUGAAGAAGAGAGUCAAAAUGAAGCAAACUUCUAUCUUAUAGCUCUAGAUGAGGAGGUAAUCUCUGAACCUUCUUUAGAAUUUAUCUUUGAUGAAUUUCAAGAUGCUUUUGAUGACUUAAUAAAAGAAUUUAGAAAGAUAAAUCUAAAAAAUAAAAAUUUAAAAGCAAAGAAUGAAGUACUAAU